AAUACAUGGAUGGAUAUUUUCAAUGAAAAGAAUGUAUAUUUUGCUGCUUUGGGGUGGAAUGCUCUGAAGAUAUUAAUUAAGUCCAUCUGAUGUAGUAUAUCAGAUGGAGUUAAGGCCACUGGUUCCUUGUUGAUUAUCUGUCUGGAAGAUCUAUCCAUUGAUGUCAAUGGGGGGGGGGCGUUGUUAAAAUACCCUACUAUGACUGUAUUACUGUCUCUCUGUUUAUGUCCAAAAUGAUUUACUUUACAUAUUUAAGUGGUCUAUGUUGGGUGCAUAAAACUUCACCAGGACUAUAUCUUCUUGUUAGAUUUAUCCUUUUACCAUUAUGUAGUGUCCUUCUUUGUCUCUUACUAUAGCCUUUGUUUUAAAGUCUGUUUUUUCAGAUAUAAUUAUUGUUACCCUAGCUUUUUUUUCAUUUCUAUUUGCAUAAAAUAAUAUCUUUUUCCAUCUCUUUAAUUUUAGUCUGUGUGUAUAUUUCAUUCUGAGUUGAGUUUCUUGUAGACAUCAUAUAUAUGGGUCUUGCUUUCUUAUCCAUUUAGCUACCUUAUGUCUUUUGAUUGGAGCAUUAAGCCAUUUAC